UCGGCUUAGAGUUUGAUCCUGGCUCAGAUUGAACGCUGGCGGCAAGCUUAACACAUGCAAGUCGAACGGUAAAGUAGCUUGCUACUUACGAGUGGCGGACGGGUGAGUAACGUAUGGGAAUUUACCGAAUGGAGGGGGACAACAGUUGGAAACGGCUGCUAAUACCGCAUAACGUCGAGAGACCAAAGGGUUUCGACUUGCCAUUUGAUGAGCCCAUAUGAGAUUAGCUAGUUGGUGUGGUAAUGGCUCACCAAGGCGACGAUCUCUAGCUGGUUUGAGAGGAUGACCAGCCACACUGGGACUGAGACACGGCCCAGACUCCUACGGGAGGCAGCAGUGGGGAAUAUUGCACAAUGGGGGGAACCCUGAUGCAGCCAUGCCGCGUGUAUGAAGAAGGCCUUAGGGUUGUAAAGUACUUUCGUGGAGGAGGAAGGGUUUACGUCAACGUGGACAUUGACGUUACUCCAAGAAGAAGCACCGGCUAACUCCGUGCCAGC
rnacentral:rRNA from 1 species